GUAGUUUUACACGCAAUAAACCUUCAAAAUUGGUGCAGCGGCUGUCUCCGCCCUGAAAACCGAGUUUGGUGUCGAGCCACUCUGGAAUAUAUGGAGGCGCCGGAGGACCAGUGGAAGGUGUCAUCCAGAUGACAGCCUCACAAUUCGCAGCCUUUGUGCUCUCCAUCAGAAACCCAUCAGGGGCAAGCCACUUAUGUUUGCCUUCAGACAAGACAACAUUGAAGCAGGAUUCCAGCACAGCCAUCUCCUGCACUUAUGGUCAAGAUGCUCAGACAAUGGAGUCCCUGUUCCUUGUGGUUAACCGUGAACAGUAUUCUCGCUUUUAUGAAAGCUAAAGGUGAUUUCCUGCAUAGAUUAAGAUUUUGCAGCUCAAAUGUAUACACAUUAUUCUAAUUUGAAGCAACUAAUAUAUGCUGUUUAAUACUUUUAUACUGUUUGAUACAAUCAUUUCUUGUUGGAAAAUAUUAAGCAUGAUGUUUAACAUUUAUUUAUGCAUUACUGGCUGAUGCAUGAUGGCCUGUGUUUAAAAAAUGUGAACUCACAUUUGAAGCUUCAUUCAAUAACCAGAGUAUGGCUGAUUUAAUAAACAUUAUUUGCUCAUUUAUGUACAAGCCCUAAUCUUCCAUUAUCGCACCAAGUACAAAUAAUUUAGAAAUUGGCAAUGUAUCAUCCGCAUGUGGCCAGUAGAGUACCUUAAUGAACAGUGGUUUGUUUUUAUAAGGCCGCCAUUGAUACGGCACUUCGCACCUAAACAGUAAUAAAUCUGGCAUAUUUAGGCUGUCUUGCAGUAGAAAAAAAAACAUUUUCAAGCAACAUAUUUUAUAACAGACCAUGCAUUGCCUUCGCAUUACAAAAUUUAAGGAAACCAUAAUUGUAAUCGGAAAAUCUGCUACACAGCAUUUUUAGCUCAGAGAACUCUAUUUACAUUUGGAAAAAAAUGAUUUAGGUGAGAAAAAAUUUUCUUGCUCAAGGAAUCUUGUUGAGGAGCGAAAAUUCAUCUUGAUGCUCCUGGAUCAAACCUUAUUUAAAGCAAGUUCAUGUGUGAAACAUACGGUGUUUCAGUAUAUCAAAAAUGUGCGCCAGUCAAGCUUUAUAUCGACUUUCCAAAUCAGCUUUUCACAAUGAUUUGCCAUGACAUUGGUGUACAAAAUAAGAGGGUGUGUUUCUUGUGUGCGUGCUCUACUUCCCUAAUUGACCUUUGCAAUAUAUAUAUUUUUUUCAAGGCCACCAAAACUAGAAUUUUUGUACCUGAAAUUUAAUAUUGAAAAUUUAUUUCUUUAAGUGGCACCAAACAGGCUGUUUUAGGGUUACCAUAUAUACAGGUUGUUUCAGUUAACUUAUGCUAAACAUUAAAUAAAUGCAAAUGCUACGUAGCUGGACAGAACCAAGGUAAUGUUGUUCGCCGUCGCUUGGAGAUACUCAGACUAUUUGUUGUACUCGGCCUAAUUCGAUUAGACCUAAUUAUUUAUUCAACUUCUCAAUUAUAAUUAGAUGAAAAGUGUCAAUGAGUAAAUUGUAGAGCAACAUGAAAACCUCCCAAUACAGCUUUCUGUUGCUCAAUAUGUGCAACAUAAAAUGGUUUUUCUGAGCGUGAAAGAAGCCCGUGAAUAUACGCAAAAUUUUCGUCCGACUGGCCGCUCGAGGCACUUUAUGUGUAUUCGCGGGCAUCUUUCACGCUCGGAAAAACACUUUUGUGUUGCACGUAUUGAGCAACAGAAAGCUGUAUCGGGAGUUUCUCAUGUUGCUCUAUACAAUCUUCUAAUUGACACUUGUCAUCUAAUUAUAAUAGUUGAGAAGUUGAAUAAAUAAUUAAGUCUAAUUAGGCGGAGUACAAAAUAUAGUCUGAGUAUCCCCAAGCGACGGCAAACAAUAUUACUUUAGUUCUGUCCACCUACGGAGCAUUUGCAUAUUUUUAAAGUUUGUCCCAAGUUAACUGAAACACCCUGUAUAUAGACAGAUUUGAUCAGUUAUAUUUAAAAAAACAUUUUUGUAGGAAAUGUAAAUUUUCAUGUACUUACAAAUGUAUUUGGUGAUUGCACAUUUUGGGUUGUUAUGUAUGUAUUAUGUAGUUAUGUAUUCUAGCAUGGAAUAAAUAUAUUUACUUUCCUUGAAAAUGCAGUUUCAUAUAUGUCUUGCUGGUUCGUAUUACAUUUUAUAUGGAUAUGUAAAGCGUAAUAAUCAUUGAUGUAGAUAUACACGCUCAGAAGUUAUAGUUUGCUAGGUUGCAUUUGUGCAGUGAAGACAGGUUUGGC